rnacentral:lncRNA from 1 species
GCUGUGGUCAGUACUGCAAACCCCAGAGACAGUCAGUGGCUGAGAGCUCCUCCAGGAAGCAGUUGUUAAUCAACUUAGAUCGCUGGAAAUAACUAUCACUUUGGCAUCCUGGGCAAUUUUCCCUCUUAGCAAACUAGCUCUCUGGUUGAAGGUGACAUUGAGUAAAGCCUGUGUGACAGAGCAAAGCCAGCGUGCAGGAGUUUCCUACAGAGCCUAUGUAGAAAACCAAGGCACCACAGCCCAGGAAGGCCAGUGGAGCCAGCGCUGAUGGCUUCACCUGCCUCACACACUCACCUUCGUCCCGCCACUGUGCCAAAGCCUGCCUGCCUACUGGGGGCCAGUGGUGACUCCUCACCAGACGUGACUGCCUCAGUAUAAAGUUUGUGUGUGCAGGAGCUGGAGAAGAAGCAAGACCACCUGGGGCUGACAUCACGGGGGACCGGCAGUGUACAGCAACAGGUCAGCAGCUGUAGUCAAGACAUUCCAGCCUCUGCAGACGGCCAGCUCCUCUGGAGUCACUACUGGUGGUUAUUUCUAAUCCAUCCCUGCGAGAAGAGAAGCAAAGAUCCCUGGGAAAUUGCUGAAUCAUGUGCCUAGCACUGUUCAAGCUGCAUCUAUCUGAGUAUGAAAUAUGAGCCCGGCUACGCUUAAAAAUUAUCUUAGAUCAUUUAAAAUUUGAUAGAUGUUAACAAUAGAAAAAGAGUCUUAAUUCUGGCUGAACUUCCAUUCAGAGGGAGGCUCUGCCAGGUGUUUGAUGAAGAAGAACUGACCUAGUUCUUACAUAGACCUUCCUGGCUAACAGAGACUCGCAUGGAAUCCUUAUGGUCAGGUGGCCAGGUGCUUCUCAUGCUCAGAUGAGCCUCAUUUUCACAUCCACCCCCCCCCCCCACACACACACACACUGCACAUGUUGACCGCAGAGAGACUAGGGGCACUUGAUAAGGCGCUGGAAAGGCUGUACCUUGUAGUAUUCUGAGAUAUAAUCUAGUCUAUGUCUAGAGGGAAGCUGGCUUCCUCUUCCCUUAUGACUACUGGGUAUAUCCAGGUCAGCUGGUAGGGCAGAUAAGGAAGGUGUCUGUCUGGGUCAAAUCCUGAGAUAAGACCUUCAGUAGAUAAAGUUUACAUAGGUGUCUGUAUAGAACACAGCUCUCACCUCAAAGGAAACAAGGUGGGGUAAAUUCUGAAGCCAAAUGUGAGUGAUAGUGACUGAGAAACUAAAUCAGAUUAUUUCAGUGCCAUGGUC